AUUGAACGCUGGCGGCAUGCCUUACACAUGCAAGUCGAACGGUAACAGGUUAAGCUGACGAGUGUCGAACGGGUGAGUAAUGUAUCGGAACGUGCCCAGUCGUGGGGGAUAACUGCUCGAAAGAGCAGCUAAUACCGCAUACGACCUGAGGGUGAACGCGGGGGAUCGCAAGACCUCGCGCGAUUGGAGCGGCCGUUAUCAGAUUAGGUAGUUGGUGAGGUAAAGGGUCACCAAGCCGACGAUCUGUAGCUGGUCUGAGAGGACGACCAGCCACACUGGGACUGAGACACGGCCCAGACUCCUACGGGAGGCAGCAGUGGGGAAUUUUGGACAAUGGGCGAAAGCCUGAUCCAGCCAUGCCGCGUGAGGGAAGAAGGCCUUCGGGUUGUAAACCGCUUUUGUCAGGGAAGAAAAGGUUCUGGCUAAUACCUGGGACUCAUGACGGUACCUGAAGAAUAAGCACCGGCUAACUACGUG
rnacentral:rRNA from 1 species